AGUGAACGCUGGCGGCGUGCUUAACACAUGCAAGUCGAACGGAAACAGGUAUUUUCGGAUAUGCUGUCGAGUGGCGAACGGGUGAGUAAUGUAUAGUUAAUUUGCCUCUUAGAGAGGGAUAGCCACUGGAAACGGUGAUUAAUACCUCAUAUUCCUUUAUGUUUAAUAUGUAAAGGGAAAAGCUUUAUUGUGCUAAGAGAUAAGACUAUAUGGUAUCAGGUAGUUGGUGGGGUAAGAGCCUACCAAGCCAAUGACGCCUAGCUGGUCUGAGAGGAUGAUCAGCCACACUGGAACUGAGACACGGUCCAG
rnacentral:rRNA from 1 species